rnacentral:rRNA from 1 species
AUGGCGGACCUGGUUGUUGGGUUGGCCAAGUCGGUGGUGGAGGGCGCGCUGACCAAGGCCCAGGCGGCUAUCGGGGAGGAGGCCCAGCUCCGGGAGAGCGCGCAGCGCGACCUGGUGUUCAUCACAGGCGAGUUUGAAAUGAUGCACUCAUUUCUCAACGUCGCCACCGCGGAGCGCGUGGAGAACAAGGUGGUGAUGACCUGGGUGCGGCAGGUCCGCGAGCUGGCCUACGAUGUGGAGGACUGCAUCGAGUUUGUUGUCCACCUCGACCCCAAGACUGGUUGGUGGUGGCGCAUGCUCCCGCCUUGGUGCAUAGGGCUGCCACCAUCUCAACUGUCGCUUGAUGAGGCUGUCGGCGAAAUCGAGCAGCUCAAGGCGAGGGUGAAUGAUGUGAGUACCAGGAACUCGCGCUACAACCUCAUCAGCGACUCUGGCUCCAAGGCAGCCGUCAUGCAGCACCACAUGCCUGCGCCUGGCGCCUCACUCGGUGCGCCAGCAUUCAACAUGCUUGCUGAGUCGAGGGACACAGCGAGGAAGCAGCAAGGCUUGGGGGAUCUCACACAGUUGAUCACCAACAAGGACAAUACCGACCCUCACCUUCAGGUGAUCUCCGUGUGGGGAACAAGUGGAGAUCUUGGGACGAUUUCCAUCAUCCGGAAGGCGUACAAUGAUCCAGAAAUCAGCAAGAAAUUUGUGUGCCGUGCCUGGGUCAAGCUGAUGCAUCCUUUUGACCCCCAUGAGUUCGUGCGGCGUUUCAUGGCUCAGGUCUACUCCACAAAGGCUUACGCUGAAAAAUUGGAGGGUACAGAUGUAGGCGUACUUGUCCUCAAGAAAAUGGAGGCGAAGCAAGAAGAUCUCCUCAAGGAAUUUCUGGAAGAAGUCAACACCAAGAUUUACCUCGUUGUCUUGGAGAACCUGACUGAAAUGGUAGAUUGGGAUGCUGUCAGGACAUUUCUUCCUGACAAAAAAAAUGGUAGCUGGAUCAUCGUGUCCACCCAGCAAUUUGACAUCGCAAGCUUGUGCAUCGGACACCCUUACCAACCACUGGAGCUCAAGCAGUUCUCCCCUGAGCACUCGGUUUGUGCCUUCUUCAAGGAGGGUUCUCGCUAUUAUGGAGACGAAGAAGAGAAGCUAAUGUUGUCUAAAGUGAGCCAAAGUUCACCUUUAGAGAAACUUACGUCCGCCAGUAAGAGAGUUGUCAAUGACUGGAUGGAAAAUAACCCUCUUGUUGGACGCGAGUCGGAAAUGAAUGAGCUCCGCAGUUAUACAGCUGGGGCACGUUUCAAAAGUUCCCCAGUUAUAUCUGUUUGGGGAAUAGCUGGUGUUGGAAAAUCAGCUCUUGUUGAAAACUUGUAUUAUGAAAGAAUGCUUCGUGGCCAGUUUGAAAAAUACUGUUGGGUGGAUAUAUCAUAUCCAUUCAAUCUAAGGGAUUUCUCCCGAAGCUUACUUUUGGAUCAUCAUUCAGAAAAAGACCCAAUUAAAGAGUGCCGUCAGCUUCUGAGCAAACAUAAGUAUCUCAUUGUUAUUAAUAAUCUCCGGUCCAAAGAAGACUGGGACUUGAUACAGGCUACCUUGGUGACUAGAUCUUCUGCAAGUGUUAUCAUUGUUAUUACAACAGAAGCUAGUGUGGCCACACAUUGCACAAAUAAUGAAGAUCAAGUCUUUAAUGUGAAAGGUCUAGAAGCUGGUGCCGCCAUGGAUCUGUUCAGGAAAGAGGUGCAGAGGAACAAUCCAUCGUCCGGUUUGAUUGGCCAUCAAAAUGACGAGCUACAAGAACUUAUUAUGAAGUGUGGAGGUCUUCCCAAGGUGAUAGUUUCCAUAGCUGCCUUAUUGGCAACACAGACGGUAACAACCAUGGAUACUGUGCGUUCGUUGAAUAGCAAAUUUAUGCACACUCUAGAGACCAAUCAAGAGUAUGAUAGUCUGCGGGGCCUAUUUGAUUGGAUGUAUUCUUACUUCCGUACUUGCCCGGAUUCAAUUAAGCCAUGUAUCUUCUAUCUAUCAAUUUUUCCUCGAGGCCAUGGCAUUCGACGAAGGCGACUAGUAAGGAGGUGGAUUGCAGAAGGUUACUCUAGAGAUAGUGAUGAAGAAUCUGCGGUGGACAAAGGGGAGAACUUCUUCUCCAAGCUCAUUGAUCUAAGCAUAAUCCAGCAGAUGCCACAGUUAGUCACCACUGCAUUCAGUGACACAAGGAUAGUCAUGUGCCAGGUCAAUGGCUUCAUCCGCGAGUACAUCGUCUCGCGAAGAAUGGAAGAGAACCUUGUCUUUGAACUUGGGCCCAAUUGUGUCCUGACCACUGAACGCAAAGGGCGUCACCUUAUCAUAUUGAAGAAUUGGGUCAGAGACAUAAUUGUAUUUGAGAGCAUUGACUUCUCACGGUUACGAUCGCUCACAGUGUUUGGAAAGUGGGAAUCAUUCUUUAUCUCCAAAAGUAUGAGGUUGCUUCGGGUUCUUGAUCUGGAGGAUGCAUCAGGUUUAAAGGAUGAAGAUCUUAUUGAGAUGGUGAAGCGGCUGCGCCGCCUCAAGUUUUUCUCCUUGAGAGGAUGUAGUGAGAUCUCCCAUCUUCCUAGUUCACUGGGUGAGCUUAGGCAGCUCCAGACACUGGAUGUGAGACACACCUCCGUAGCUAGACUGCCAAAGAACAUCGGGAAGUUACAGAAGCUGCAGUAUGUCCGAGCUGGCACUACCAUCUCAGCAUUGACAUCACCUGCCCCAUCCCGCAGCUUGCUAGAGUUCCGCAGACGUCGUGCCCUACUUGGUGUUGAGGUUCCUAGAGGGAUUGGAAAACUGACAGCCCUGCAUACACUUGGUGUUGCCAAUGUCAUUGCUUCUGGGGGAAAAGCAUUUGUGAAAGAGCUCAAGAAACUCACCCAAUUGCGCAAGCUUGGUGUGUCUGGCAUCAAUAGGCAUAACAGCGAGGACUUCUUCUCUGCAAUCUCAGGUCACGUGCAUUUGGAAUCCUUGUUGGUGCGGCUUGCCGAAGGAAAUCAAGGUUCCUUGGAUGGCAUCUCCCUGCCUUGGGAGAACCUACAGAGUCUUAAACUGCAUGGGCUUCAAGACAAGUUACCUCUAAUUGAGGGCCAACUUAGCAAGCUCAGGAAGUUGGAUGUGGAGAUGGCCACUUUAGAGAAAACUGACAUUGAGUUCCUUGCCAAGCUACCAAACCUGUGUAUUCUACGCCUUCGUGUCAAGCAGCUUCAGGGUGGCAAGCUCCAUUUUUUUCAUGAGUUAUCUGGAUGUGAGUUGACCACAUUCGAAAAGGUGAAGAUCCUUGAGAUUGGUUGCGGCUCCAGCAAUUUACAAGUAAAUUUUGGAUCAAAGUCGAUGAAAAAUCUUGAGCUGCUCGAGAUUGACUACUCAAAUGGAUCAUGUCAGCUUGCCGGCCUGAAUAAUCUGUCUGAACUCAAGGAAGUCUUGCUCAAGGGUACCAAUGAUGAGCAAUUCAGGACAGAGUUUGAGAGAUAUCUUGCCACUCAUCCAAAUAAGCCUGCCGUGAAGCUGGAGAAACUACCAGCAUCAACAUGA